GAGGAAGCCCGGUGCGACUCCGGCGCGGUCCCGCCACUGUGACCCGGCACCCGCCGGGGAGUCAGGAACUC
rfam:Geodermatophilus obscurus DSM 43160, complete genome.